rnacentral:lncRNA from 7 species
GUGUCCCUAUGGGGUUUUUAUAGGGUCCCUAUGUGUCUCUAUGGGUCUCUAUGGGGUUUUUAUAGGGUCCCUAUAGGUCUCUAUGGGGUCGCUAUGGGUCGCGAUGUGUCCCUAUGGGGUCUCUAUGGGUCUCUAUGGGUCCCAAUGUGUCGCUAUGGGUCCCAAUGUGUCCCUAUAUGUCUCUAUGGGUCUCUAUGGGGUCUCUAUGGGUCUCUAUGGGUCGCGGUGUGUCGCUAUGGGUCGCGAUGUGUCCCUAUGGGGUCUCUAUGGGGUCCCUAUGGCUCUCUAUGGGGUCUCUAUGGGGUCUCUAUGGGUCCCAAUGUGUCCCUAUGGGGUCCCUAUGUGUCCCUAUGGGUCUCUAUGGGUCCCAAUGUGUCGCUAUGGGUCUCUAUGGGUCUCUAUGGUAGGUCCCUAUGUGUCCCUAUGGGGUCUCUAUGUGUCCCUAUGGGUCUCUAUGGGGUUAUGGCAGGUCCUCUAUGUGUCCUAUGGGUCUCCUAUGGGGUCCCUAUGGGUCUCUAUGGGUUUUUAGGGUCUCUAUGGUGUCCUCUAUGGGGUCUCUAUGGGUCUCUUAUGGGGUUCCUCUAUGGGUCCUCUAUGGUCUCUAUGGUCCUAUGGUCUCUAUGUGUCCUAUGGGUCCCUAUGGGUCUCUAUGGGGUUUUUAUAGGGUCCCUAUGUGUCGCUAUGGGUCUCUAUGGGGUUUUUAUAGGGUCCCUAUGGGUCUCUAUGGGUCUCUAUGGGGUUUUUAUAGGGUCCCUAUGUGUCCCAAUGGGUCCCUAUGUGUCUCUAUGUGUCGCUAUGUGUCCCUAUGGGGUUUUUAUAGGGUCCCUAUGGGUCUCUAUGUGUCCCUAUGUGCCUCUAUGGGUCUCUAUGGGUCGCUAUGGGUCGCGCAGUGUCGGUUCCGCCCCACUCACUCCACGUGACGGCCGCCAACGCCUCCGUGCAGACGUCGCUCUCCGCCCCACAGCGGACGGUUAUGGGGCGGCUGCAGUUCCCAUCCGCCGCCCCACAGCUCAGACAGCGCAGCCCCACAGCGCCUGCGGGACCCACAGCUAUGGGGCGGGACCCCAUCUAUGGGGCAGGAUCCCCGUCUAUGGGGCGGGACCCCAUUUUAUGGGGUAGGAUCCCCAUCUAUGGGGCGGGACCCACAGCUAUGGGG